rnacentral:lncRNA from 1 species
GGUUUUGGACUUGGCACUGGAGGUGGAGGUGAUGCCACUGGUGGUGGUGGAGAGUUGACUGGAGGUGGCUUUGGUUUUGGACUUGGCACCUCUGGAGGUGGAGGUGAUGUCACUGGUGGUGGUGGAGAGUUGACUGGAGGUGGCUUUGGUUUUGGACUUGGCACCUCUGGAGGUGGAGGUGAUGCCAUUGGUGGUGGUGGAGAGUUGACUGGAGGUGGCUUUAGUUUUGGACUUGGGACUGGUGGUGGAGGUGAUGCCACUGGUGGUGGUGGAGACUGAACCGUAGACGGCUGUGGUUUUGGACUUGGCGCUGGUGGUAGAGGUGAUGCCGCUGGUGGUGGUGGAGAGUGAACCGGAGGUGGCUUUGGUUUUGGACUUGGCACUGGAGGUGGAGAUGAUGCCACAGGUGGUGGUGGAGAGUGAACCGGAGGUGGAUUUGGUUUUGGACUUGGUACUGGUGGGGGCGGUGAUGCCACGGGUGGUGGUGGAGAGUGAACCGGUACUGGUGGGGGCGGUGAUGCCACGGGUGGUAGUGGAGAGUGAACCGGAGGUGGUUUUGGUUUUGGACUUGGCACUGGCGGAGGCGGUGAUGCCACGGGUGGUGGUAAAGGUGAAAUCUUGGGUGGAUUAGACUUAGGUGGUUUUGGGGUUGAAGGAGUUCUU